CGGCUGAGUGUAUCCAUGGUCUCCCCAACAAACAGUUGUAGGAAGGCUUAAUAUCCAUUACCAGGAAGUCUACCUCAUAAGUAGUUGGGCCAAUCAUUAACGGUACUUCAAUUCUCCCGAUAACCCUCCUUUCUGUUCCAUUAAAUGCCCUUACUAUGCUCUAGCAUGCUUUUAUGUGUGAACUGUCCACUGGUAAUCGAUUAAGAGUGAAUAAAGGUAAUACGUUCAAUGCAGAUCCAUUAUUCACCAAGGCUCC
rnacentral:lncRNA from 1 species